rnacentral:sRNA from 1 species
AUGAUAAUCAUAUAUAUGAAAGUUGGCCAACUCUCUCCCUAUGAGUGACACAUCAUCACACAAGAAAAUGACAUGUGUCAUUCUAUAUUAAUUAAAUAAAAAAUUAAUACAAUUAAUUGAG